AUUGAACGCUGGCGGCAUGCCUUACACAUGCAAGUCGAACGGCAGCACGGGAGCAAUCCUGGUGGCGAGUGGCGAACGGGUGAGUAAUAUAUCGGAACGUGCCCGGUCGUGGGGGAUAACGUAGCGAAAGCUACGCUAAUACCGCAUACGAUCUACGGAUGAAAGCGGGGGAUCGCAAGACCUCGCGCGAUUGGAGCGGCCGAUAUCAGAUUAGGUAGUUGGUGAGGUAAAGGCUCACCAAGCCGACGAUCUGUAGCUGGUCUGAGAGGACGACCAGCCACACUGGGACUGAGACACGGCCCAGACUCCUACGGGAGGCAGCAGUGGGGAAUUUUGGACAAUGGGCGCAAGCCUGAUCCAGCAAUGCCGCGUGCAGGAUGAAGGCCUCGGGUUGUAACGU
rnacentral:rRNA from 1 species